rnacentral:ncRNA from 1 species
AGCAAACCUGCCGAAAGGCAGGGACGCAAAGCCACGGAUCUAAGCGUUUUCGUAGGAUGGCCGGGUUGCA